ACCGAGGGAGCUCAAAUUCAAACUGCUCACUCCCCUCUCUCAAGAUGGGGCUCAAAUUGUACGCAAUGCAUUGUGGGAAGAGCGACGACACUCACUCCCCUUUCCCAGUCCAGCACCGCGCUGACAUCGACACGUUAGACCCGCCCCCUGCCCACGCACCGACGGACAUUCGUUCCCAGGCAGAGCGCUGGGCGGAGCCUGGGCUGGGCUGGGCUACCGCACCACGUAGGGGUGAAAACUCCUCCCAGAGCUUCGUAUUAACCGUUUGGAAUGUUCCAUCGGCUGGCGUCCCCCGCCCGCCCGGGUGUGGUAUCGCCCUGAGGUGAAAGGGAAAUAGGCAUUACAUAAAGAAACUCCCAAACAGUGUGAAAAGAAUUAUGCUGAACAACUGAAAACAACAGAUGGAAACAUUCAUGCAUACGGAAACGUAUACUUAAAGUGCAAAUGGGAAAGAGUAAAUGUUAUGAAGUCUCAUCUACUGUUCUGAUUCUGACUCAACUAAAGUCAGUAGCAAAACUCAUUAAAUUUCAAUGGGAGCAGUGUUUUUCUCAAACAAGGCAUGUCAACCUCUAUCAUGGAACAUUUGUACAGAUGAUUUGGAACCAUCAAGCUGUGGAAUAGCUAGCCUCCGUAUCUAGCUGAAGGAUUCUAAUGGAGCCUACUGGAAUAUCUGCUGGGCUGCAGUGCUGGUUCCGGUUAACAUCUACAAGGCAUGUCUUGUGAUUAGUGACUCAGCCUGGGAGUUGUAUUACUGAACUGUCCAAAUCAUUUAACAUUUUAAGAGGACCAAGUGAAGCCAUCUUAGAAAAGGUAUUUGUUACACUAAGGGCCUGAUCUUGUGAGGUGCUGAGGCCUUCCUCAAAUGGACUUUGUGCUCUCAUCUCCCACCAACUCCAGUAUGGGUGUUAAGAUCCCCACACAAGGCACGGAACUACCUAUGUUUCAGUAUCUUCAUUCCAACCCUGUCUCUGAGGACUGAUCUUUCCAUGCAACAGUGCUACCCCUAUUUUAGGUUGAUGUAACUCCAUUAAAGACAUUGUUGAAGAUAAUGGAGAAUUCAUCCUUAAUACUUGAGGCAUCUGGUGCUGGUAAAAACACAUCUGAACACUUCCCAUUUGGUCUGCCAUUAAAUAUCUUAGUACAGCUGUUCUGAACAUCCCAUCUCAAGCUGGAAUAGGAAGAGAAGUCCAGCCAGCCAUUUCCCCUGUUGCCAGCCGUAAGGAUCUUCCGGAAGGGAGAAGCUUGUGAAUGUGUGGCAGGAAUUUACACCAGGAUUUAAAUAACACCCGAGUCACUCUUGGAAGGCUCAAGGAACCUAUUAUCAACAUCCGUCCUGAAUUGUGGGUACCAGAAUUGGACACAGUGUAGCAGAAGCGGUUGUACCAGUGCAAAAUAUAAAGGAGGACAAGAAAUAAGGUGAUAAAAGGGCUGUUUCUGAAGGGCCAGCAGCAGCACUGUGCUAUCCUACAGGAAACCUCCGGAGCUGCAGAUCCCUGGGCCUGGUGCGCUGCUGGGCGUGAGUGCGACAGCAGCUCUGAAAAGGGCUGGAAUUGAAGGAGAGAAGAGGAGAAUGCCUUAUGAACAGAUAGGAGGACAAAGGGAGUUUGUUCUUAUAAGGGCUUGAUCCUGUGGUGCUGAGUGCUGCAGUUGAGAUAACUCAGCACCACACAAGUUUCACUCAGCACCUUGCAAGAUUGGGCCCUACACACUUUCCUCUGAUUAUUGGGGUAAUGUUUUCUUUUCCUAGGGGAAGGUAAACCUACCCUACGAAGCAGGAAUUAUUAUUAAUAAUAAACAAUAACAUAUAGCAUAUUUCCUUCCAAAGGAAACCAUAGUCAUUGCUUUACAGUCUGGACAGGGAUAAUCAAACAAGCCACUGAACUGCAGCCACCUCUGGGGUGGAAACAGCAAUCAUUCAGCACUUACAACACUACAAAGCA